rnacentral:rRNA from 1 species
GGCGGCGUGCUUAACACAUGCAAGUCGAACGAUGAACCACUUCGGUGGGGAUUAGUGGCGAACGGGUGAGUAACACGUGGGCAAUCUGCCCUUCACUCUGGGACAAGCCCUGGAAACGGGGUCUAAUACCGGAUAACACUCCUGUCCUGCAUGGACGGGGGUUAAAAGCUCCGGCGGUGAAGGAUGAGCCCGCGGCCUAUCAGCUUGUUGGUGAGGUAAUGGCUCACCAAGGCGACGACGGGUAGCCGGCCUGAGAGGGCGACCGGCCACACUGGGACUGAGACACGGCCCAGACUCCUACGGGAGGCAGCAGUGGGGAAUAUUGCACAAUGGGCGAAAGCCUGAUGCAGCGACGCCGCGUGAGGGAUGACGGCCUUCGGGUUGUAAACCUCUUUCAGCAGGGAAGAAGCGAAAGUGACGGUACCUGCAGAAGAAGCGCCGGCUAACUACGUGCCAGCAGCCGCGGUAAUACGUAGGGCGCAAGCGUUGUCCGGAAUUAUUGGGCGUAAAGAGCUCGUAGGCGGCUUGUCACGUCGGGUGUGAAAGCCCGGGGCUUAACCCCGGGUCUGCAUUCGAUACGGGCUAGCUAGAGUGUGGUAGGGGAGAUCGGAAUUCCUGGUGUAGCGGUGAAAUGCGCAGAUAUCAGGAGGAACACCGGUGGCGAAGGCGGAUCUCUGGGCCAUUACUGACGCUGAGGAGCGAAAGCGUGGGGAGCGAACAGGAUUAGAUACCCUGGUAGUCCACGCCGUAAACGUUGGGAACUAGGUGUUGGCGACAUUCCACGUCGUCGGUGCCGCAGCUAACGCAUUAAGUUCCCCGCCUGGGGAGUACGGCCGC